AUCAAUGAACCCGAUGUCUCCGGUGUGCAACCACCCGUCUACGAUCGUUCUCUUUGUUGCUUCCGGAUCGUUAAGGUAACCUAUGAUCAAUUUUCACCACCGGAACUUUUUAAUUUUUUUAUCUCAGGUAAAACAGUAAAAGAAUUAUUAACAAUUCAGAAUUUCAGAUCUAUGAUGAUCUUCGAUAUUCUACUGACCUUUCAUGAUCUGGUCACCGCGAAUGCAGAUCUCACCGCGUUGAUUCCGAGGAAGAGAAGCAUUCGUGUCUGGAUCGACGAUCUUCAUCUCGGCAUUACGGACUACUGUGCCACAUGCCCCUGAUUUGAUCUCGAAUGGCUCUUUGGCGAAAGCCAAACACAUCGC
rnacentral:lncRNA from 1 species